CGGGAUGUAGCUAAAAUUCAAAGCGUUUCACUUACAAUGAAAAGGUAACUGGUUAUUAUCAAAGUUCGUUCUGG
rnacentral:tRNA from 1 species